GAUUGCAAGACAUGGGCGGUGGAAGAGCUAAGCAUUGAGUGUUCUUUCAGGAAAAAGCUAUCCUAGGGGAGCUCCCUGGGGUUUGUGGUCACUGGUUUGGAAACAGCACCAUUAUCUCUCCCUGUGCUCACAUGCCAUACCUCCAGAAUGCCCAAAGGAUCAACAAUCCAAGGCAAUGGGAACUAGAAGAGGCUUCCGUUGUUUAUCAUGGUGCUGUUGAAGUCUCCUGGGGUUGACAGAUGCCGCUCCAGAAGGUUAAUAAGAUGAAGAAAGCUCUUCCAGCUGGACCGUAAGAGGGAUUAUGUCUGAGCAGCAGAUAAACAGAUUAUUCCAGAAACAGACACUGCUUUUUUUUAAAACUUCGUCACUCUUGUCUUACCACUCCAGUUCCCCGGGCUAGAAGUGUGGGCGUCGGAGGGUUCGCCCAGCUCUUGCACUCUGGCACCUGUUGCACUCUGCCCAGCUGCAAUUCCAUGCAGUCCAAGGCUGGAGACACCUGAAAAAUAAAGACAUUUGGGGAUUUUAGUUCUCUAAGAAAACAGAAUUCUUCUACUUGAAAAAAAUUUUCUUGUUUCCUGCAUGACUGGUCUUGAAAACUGUGAAUGAUCAAUAGACAGCAUGCAUUUGAAAACUGGAUUAAUAUUUUUGAUCAUUUGCCUUGCUCUCCAAGUUCAGGGAAGCAGAGAAAUUCCUGAUAAAAUUAACCGUGCUGAAGCCAAACAACUUGCAGUCACCUCAGGGUCAGACAAAACAGAAAGAACAACAAAGAGGUCCAGGAUAUCAACCAUAAGGCGGAUAUUUGACAUGGCAAAACACCGGACAAAGAGGUCAUCCUUUUUCUCAACUGGUGUGAAAGUUUGCCCACAAGAAUCAGUGAAGCAGAUUUUAGCCAGUCACCAAGCUUACUACAGAUUAAGAGUCUGCCAGGAAGCUGUGUGGGAAGCCUUUCGUAUUUUUCUGGAUCGGAUUCCUGAUACUUCUGAAUAUCAGAACUGGGUUAGUGCCUGCCAGAGAGAAACCUUCUGCAUAUUCGACAUUGGGAAAAACUUCAGCAAUUCCCAAGAGCACCUGGAAAUAAUUCAGCGGCGAGUAAAACAUAGAACCUUCCAGGAAAGGAAAGAUGAAAUAUCAGCAGAGAAAACAGGAGGCAAAAAGGUGGAAGACAUUCCCUCCAUUUCUACAGGCUCUCCUGGCACACCCCUCUCUCCAUACGCCCCUAAUGGCACAUUGCUCAACGAAAUUUUCAAUGACACAAAGACUCCUGUGAAGGACCUGGGAACAAAUGCAGUCCCUGAAUUGCCUGUGGAGCAAAUGGUGGAAUUCAGUGUGACUCUCACUGAUCAGGAGUACACAGCUGAACUUAGUGACCCCAACUCCCCAGAGUACCAACAACUAGCUGCCAAAUUUCAGCUACAGAUGAAAAAAAUAUUUGAGAAACUUCCAGGAUUCAAGGAAAUCCGCGUGUUAGGAUUCAAACAGAAGAAGGAGAAAGAUGGAUCCAGCAGCACAGUAGCAAGAUACGUGGUGAACUUUGAGAGAGAUGGCUCAGAAACCAAAGGCACAGCAGAUGACAUCUCCACUAUUGGAUCUAAUAAGGUCGAAAGUGAAAAAAUUCCAAUUUCUCCAGUUGAAGAGAGGGAAAUAUCAGCAACCAAACUGACAGUAACAGACCUUCAGCAGCUGGUUGCCACUGCACUCCAUGAAGACCAGUCCCUGCCAGUGGACCUUGGAACACUUCAGUUUACUGAUGAAACUAUCAUACCACCUAGUGAAUUAGACAAUGAUAUCCAAGGUGUGGUCACUAUUCCUCUGGCAGGCCCUGAUUUGGAGGAACUCCCACUAGGUUAUCCCAGUCCAGCAACAGUGGAUCAAAGAGGAGAUGUAUUUGUUGAUGAAUUUACAACGGAAAGCCCUGUUCUAAGUGAAGAAAUCAGCAUCCCUGAGGAAUUCAAUAAUUUUAUUACAUCUGAACCUGAUUUUCCUACCAAACCGUCCAGAGAACCAUUCCAGGACAGAUACCCAUACACCCAAGUUAUUGCUACCGACCGCCCAAGUUCCACAGUGCCUUUCAGUGCUCUGGGUAGCACCAGCAGCCCUCCAAAAGCAGAGGAUUCCUUUUUGCCUCCCCCGGCAGAUGACUCUGCUGGCCAGGACUCGCUCACGGGUGGCUCUGAGCCUCCAGAGGAGCCAGGCACCUCGGGAAGCGUCACCACUGCCCAUCCCCUGCCUGCCACCGAGCCGGGCAGGGAUGCUGCGGAGACACAGGGACUGACCGACACAGCACAGCCUCCUCCCAGGGAAGUCGACCAAGACAGCCUGUCUGGACAAGCAGUUAAGAUCAUGGAAGAACCAGAAUCAUCAGGGGAUGACAUUUUUGUUACAGCCAGCACUUAUGAAGGGUUGCCUUUCUUUACUGCUCCAAGUGGUGUCUCUACCAUGCAGCCUGGAGCUGCCAUCACCGACGUGCUGCCACCAAUAGUACCACUGCCCGCAGCCACCAGCCCGUCCUACAGCCCCUCCGAGAUCAUUGAGCAGUCCCUUGAGUUACCAGGUCCCUCAGUGCCAGCCCCUGAGGGGAUUCCUGUGGAUGGCACCGGGAUGGGCGUGCAGGACAUCGCGGCUGAGCUGGAUCAGAUGGGCGCCGUGAGCACAGCGGGGCUGGACGAGGGCAGUGGCUACAUCCCAGUGCUGACCACGGAGCCUGCAGAAACCACCCCUGCACCCGUGCUCAAGUACGUCACCACCAGCUCCAUGACCACUGCCGCCAAAGGCAAAGAGCUCGUGGUUUUCUUCAGCCUGAGGGUAACCAACAUGCACUUCUCUGACGACCUCUUCAACAGGAGCUCGACAGAAUACAAAGCACUGGAACAACAGUUCAUGCAAUUGUUACUUCCAUACCUUCAGUCCAACCUUACAGGUUUUAAGCAUCUGGAAAUUCUCAACUUCAGGAAUGGAAGUGUGAUUGUGAACAGCAAAAUGAAAUUUGCCAAGACAGUGCCAUACAAUAUCACAGAAGCAGUACACUGUGUUUUGGAAGAUUUCUGUGAUGCUGCAGCUCAGCACCUCAAUUUGGAGAUUGACAGCUAUUCCCUGGAUAUUGAGCCAGCGGACCAGGCCGACCCCUGCAAGUUCCUGGCCUGUGACAAGUUUUCCGAGUGCGUGCUGAACGAGUGGACCCGGGAGGCCGACUGCCUGUGCAGGCCCGGCUACGCCAGCCGGGACGGGCUGCCCUGCCGCAGCCUGUGCGAGCUGCAGCCCCAGCUCUGCCUCAACGGCGGCAAGUGCGAGCUGGUGCCGGGAACCGGAGCUGUCUGCAGAUGCCCUGUACGUAGACACCAGCUUUACCAAGGACAGCGCUGUGCAAAAUUUGGUCCAGAACCCACACAACCCUUCAUUUUUAAACCUCUCAUUUUUGGCUUAGGAAGCCUUGGUUUUCUUUUCAUCAUUUUAAUUAUUAAGAUAAGAAGAAGGUGCAAAAGAAACUCUAAUUUGCAAAGUCCUGCUCUCAGCAGCUGCAAUCCAGAAAAUGCUGUAAGGAUUAAUCCUGCUUUUGAACACGAUGAAUCCCUAUCUAGCUUUUGUCACACGGCUUGCAGUGUAAGUGCUUGUCUCAGUUUCUCAGAGAUCCUUGAUCACGAAGCAUUACAUGAACUUGAAAACACAAUUCAGCCUGGAGGUAAACUGCAUGGAAAUCCCUUUCUCAUCCCUCAACCAACAGCCCCACCUGAAAUAACAGGUCCACCUUCGUGUAUUAACUCCACAACUAAAUCAAACUUGAAGCUACUCUUGCUUGGCAAUUUCAGAACUGAAAAUACUAAUGCAUUCAUUGCUUUCCACAUUUACUGCAGUGUAGUUCUCAUAACAGGACUGUAGAACUGCUUUUCUUACAGCUGUCUUGCAUGGCUCUGCCAGUCUAUCCUAGCUGAGUGCUUUUAGUCAUUUAGAGAAAUAAUUACUGGUUUGGUUUUUUUACUCUUGUAGGUCACCAGAUGAGUUUACAAAACCAAGACUGACAAGUUAGUCCCUGGAAUUCUUCGUUUCCAGCAUCAGCCACACAAAAUCAAGGUCUUCAAGAAAGAAGGUCUGCAUUAUUCAAGACUGGACUUCAGGAUGAGUAUG